ACUCCUACGGGAGGCAGCAGUGGGGAAUAUUGCACAAUGGGCGCAAGCCUGAUGCAGCAACGCCGCGUGAGCGAUGAAGGCCUUCGGGUCGUAAAGCUCUGUCCUCAAGGAAGAAUAAAUGACGGUACUUGAGGAGGAAGCCCGGCUAACUACGUGCCAGCAGCCGCGGUAAUACGUAGGGGGCAAGCGUUAUCCGGAAUCACUGGGGCGUAAAGGGUGCGUAGGCGGUUUUCAAGUCAGAAGUGAAAGGCUAUGGCUCAACCAUAGUAAGCUUUUGAAACUGUUAAACUUGAGUGCAGGAGAGGAAAGUGGAAUUCCUAGUGUAGAGGUGAAAUUCGUAGAUAUUAGGAGGAACACCAGUGGCGAAGGCGACUUUCUGGACUGUAACUGACGCUGAGGCACGAAAGCGUGGGGAGCGAACAGGAUUAGAUACCCUGGUAGCACA
rnacentral:rRNA from 1 species